GGCUUUGUAGUGAAAUUUCAUGUUGAGUUGCAAGCUCAUCGAUGUGUGCUGAAAGCAUACCAAAGUCU
rnacentral:tRNA from 1 species